GAGCAGACUAAAUACGAAAUGUUUAGAUAGGAUGAGAUGUCUCUGACAAACAUUAACCUACUUUAAUCGUUACAAUGCCUGUAGCGUCAAGUCAUUAUAGUGGAAUCAGCCAACAGAUGUGUCAACGUCGUCGAAUAAAGUACAUAAGAAACAAAUCAGCAAUUAAAAGUACAAUAACCUUAAACUAAGAAAAAGCCGAAUUCAAAAUAAGCCAAUUUCCUUUCUUCAUAAUGAUAAAAGAUAUUUUCCAAAAUGUAAACAAAAGAUCGCCGAGAAGUUUCGAUCAUGAAAAAAGUCAAACAGUCACGUA